rnacentral:rRNA from 1 species
UUUUUAAUGAGAGUUUGAUCCUGGCUCAGGAUGAACGCUGGCGGCGUGCUUAACACAUGCAAGUCGAACGGACUACUUCGGUAGUUAGUGGCGGACGGGUGAGUAACGCGUGGGUAACUUGCCCUGUGCAGGGGAAUAACGUUUGGAAACAAACGCUAAUACCGCAUAAGCUAACAGUAUCGCAUGAUACAGCUAGAAAAGAUUUAUCGGCACAGGAUAGACCCGCGUUGGAUUAGCUAGUUGGUGAGAUAACAGCUCACCAAGGCGACGAUCCAUAGCCGGCCUGAGAGGGUGAACGGCCACACUGGGACUGAGACACGGCCCAGACUCCUACGGGAGGCAGCAGUGGGGAAU